rnacentral:lncRNA from 1 species
CUUCUUCUUCCUCUUUAUCUUCCUUCUUCCCUCUUCCCUCUCUUCUUCCCUGUCCAGAAAUUCUUUUCUUUAACCAAAAAUUCUCCCUUUCUUCUUCCUAUCUUACAAGAACCUUAAUUACACUUUAAUCAUUUUACCAAUUCAAUAACUCUUACAAAGGAUCUUUCACACAAUUCACUAUCAUGGUCUCUCCCAAACUCUUUGAAUUCUCUCACAAAACUUCACAGAAUCGAUUUGAGCUUCAAUAAACUCACCGGUUCGUUUUCUGGCGUACAUGAAGAAGGUUGGCGACGGCCAUCACCGGCGACGGCAACAAUGCUUCCGUUCUCAAUCGUUUUCGUUUCCGGGUUCGUUGGGUUUUCCGGCCACAGCGUUUUUUCGGGUUCGUUCGUUUGAUUUGGUGGUUAAGAGCAUCACGACGGCGGCAAAGCUGUUGUAUUUGUUGACGGCGGCGAAGCUGUUGGAUUUAUUGCUGGCGGAUUUUAAACGAGCUCCGUCGGAAGAGGAAAAGAAUCAUAGCCAUGGAAGGAUUUGUU